rnacentral:snoRNA from 1 species
AGGUCAUUUCAAGGACGGCUUGUAGGAAUGGAAAACCAAAAACUCCUAUGGCUGUAACCAAAGAUGACAGGUUUCCACAGGGUGUCACAGUCCCUUGAUAGUACAGUGUUUUUCUAAGUAGAUAUACCU